AUGACCACUAAAUUAAAGAAAUAAUCAUGGAUGGUGAAAUUGAUCAUGAAUGUGCUGAAUAUAAUCCAACUCAAGAUGAAAUGUACAUUGCAAUUGAGCAGCAAAUGAUGCUUAAUGUUGACAAAAAAACAAAAGAAGGAAAGGAAGCGCGCAUUAAAAAGCAAAAGCAAAACUUGGGUGAAAUUCGUGAUUGGGACAAACAGACGAUAAAGUUAUAGGAAAUUGACACAGACUAUGUAAAUAUAAAUAUAAACGUAAAAGACUAUGAAAGAUGUAAGAGAUUAAAUAAAGGCUCAUGGAAUUUAAAGAGGUGAACAGAGAAAGGCACACUGCGCAUUUAAUGGCGGUGACAGUGACGGCAACGUUGAAGAACAAAGGGUAACAGUAAGUCGCACGAAGGUAAAGUAAGUGAAAAAAGGGUAAUGGAGAGUCAAACGAAGGCAAAGUAAGUAAAGUAGAUGGUACAGUUACUCUCGGAACGGCGCCAAGCAGGCCUCUGUAUCCAACGCUCUUUUUGCCCAAUGCGGGGGAGAUGGACUUUGGAAAGCGACCAGGAAACUCCCCGAGACGGCUGGUAAGGUGGCAUGUGACGUUGAGGGCAUCAAGGCUUUUUAAAAAUAUUGUGUUUGUCAUUUUUAUUGUUUUUAUCCCCUUUACAUGUUUUAUCUCUUUGUUUUCAAAUGCCUUUAAUCAUGUAAAGUUACCUCGUGUAUGAAAUGCGCUAUACAAAUCAUUUGCUUUGCUUUGCUUUACAAUGAUGCCUAUGAUAGAAGCUCCGGCAGGUCCAAUAUAAAAGCUGUUUAAUCUUAAAGAUGUUGAUUUUCUUACUGUUAACUUGUCUCAUCUCUCUUCUGGUGGUAAUGCAUGGCUGUCUAGUUUUGUGGAAACUUUACAGGGGUAUACACUCUGCAUUGGAGACUGGAGACAAGCAGCAUCUAGAUCAUGCACUAGUAUUGAACACCGAGAAAUCGAGACAACUGCAGCUCCGAACCAGGGGAUGGAGGACACUGUCACUGGCUUGUGGAAUUCUGAAGUCCUAGAAACAUCCACCUCCUUGUGGUGUACACCACUCAGGCCAGCUUUAAAAGCAGAUGGUAACACAUAGCGUAUGGCACAUGAUUUGAGAGCCGUUAAUGAUGUUAAUGACCACACCAUUGUUGCCUGUACCAGACCCCCACAGAAUGUUGUCUACCAUCACACCUGGUUUGAAAUACUUCACAGCGAUUAAUUUGGCAAAUGCAUUCUUCUGUGUCCCACUCGCACUCGAGUGUAGACACUUGUUUGCAUUCAGAUAUCAGUGAUGCAAUUUGCAAUACACCAGGUUGCCACAAGGCUUCAAAAAUUCACCUGGAAAUUUUAAUCAAUUUUUGAAAUCAUUAUUGGAGGGUCUAGAUCUCCCAGACGGAUGUAAACUCCUGAUGUAUGUUGAUCUCCUGUUGGCAGUCCCAACACCAGAGUUGUGUUUGUCUCAAACUAAACUUGUUUUGCUUCAUUUGCAUGAGCUGGGAUUUAAAGCUUCCAGAAAGAAACUUCAGUGCUGUCGCAAAUCGAUGACCUUCUUGGGCAGAGUGGUGUCCUCUGAAGGAUCCACUAUGUCCUCGGAGCAUCGUUCUUCUAUUCUACAGAUUCUCUUCAUCCACGUGCUGAUCUCUUUGUCCAACCUCUGACUAACGGCAGGGUCCUGUUCACUGAUUGUUGCUGUUACCGUAAGCCGAAUGGCUCUUUGGUCCGUGGCAGCUGCCGUAGUGGAGCAGCAGCCCUCAGGUGAAUUUUUAACUGUUUCCUCUUCCAUACUAACAUCUGCUCUCUCAGCCCAGGCAGCGGAAGUGCACCCACUCCGUCUCUCACUGGAACUGGAGGUCGGACAAUCUGUCACUGUCUAUUCAGACUCAGCUUAUGCUGUCUCUGCUGCUGUGUUGGACCUGUCUGCAUAGAAACGGAAUUACUUUAAAACAGCCAAAUGUACCCCUUUUGCACAUUUGACACUGAUCCAACGAUUAGACAAAGCCCUGGCCCAAACUUUGGCGGUGGCUAUCGUCAAGAUCCCUUCAACCACAGCCCUUGGCAAUGAUGCUGCCGACUUGACUGCCAAGCAGGCUGCGGGCUAUGUCCCACAGAUGCUUGUCCAAUUAUCUGACAAAUCCUCUCCUGACCUGCCUGACCUCCGUCUCAUCAUGAAUUGGUUAAAAUACAGCACAAACCUUUGACCAAAACUACCUCUAUGGCUCAUAUUGUCCCCAUAGCCAUGCUAACCAAACUUCGCAUGUGGUGGCAUCCGAAAAUGGCCGACUUGUGUCAUGGCCACUGUUGUGACUGUAAUAUUUGCCAGCUACACAAUAUUUACCCCACACUUAGACCGUUGUCAGGUUCAUUUGACCCACCAGCCUGGCCCGGUGCUGAACUGGUCAUGGAUUUCACAGACAUGAUCACUCCUGUUCAAGGUAAGCGCUACAUUCUUGUUUUUUUGACAUCUUUUCCGGAUUGCCUGAAGCCUACCUCUGCGCUCGCGAAGACGCCACGUCGGUAUUGAAAGUUUUGGUGAACCACUGCAUUCCAACGUAUGGUUUCCCCGCACUCGGACAACGGUACAGAUUUCACAUCUACACACAUAGCUACUGUAGAGAAGUGGUUUGGGUUAACUCAUAAGUUUGGUUGUGUUUAUCACCCCGGCAGGCAAGGUUCAGUUGAACGUAUGAAUCCCACAUUGAAGGAAAAACUGGCUAAAAUAUGUACCUCUUCCGGCAUGAAUUGGGUUCAGGCUCUUCCCCUUGCUCUAAUAUCGGCGAGACAAACUGUGUCUCGCCCUACUGGUUUCUCUCCUUAUGAACUUCUUACAGGUCAUCUGAUGCCUGGCCCUUCCUCCUCAUUCCAACCGCUGGAGGAUGGUUUUCUGUCUCCCAAGUUUUCUCAUAAACUGUUUUGGACACAACUGGCUUCUUUUGCUUCUAAUUUUCCUUCAUAGAUCCAGGACACAACACCACCUCCUGCACUUGAUCAUCGUAAGUGGUCAUCUGUCUACCUUAAAAGACUCUCCCGUAAGUGAUCAGAACCUCAUUGGUCUGGCCCCCACAAGGUGACUGCUUGUACCUCCAAAGCCGUCCGCUUGGAGGAAAAAGGAACUAAGUGAUUUCAUUAUUCUAUGCUUUGGCCUGCUACAGACUCUUAAUUGCACUUUUAUUUUAUUGUUUGUUGUUGUUUUAUUAACCAUGACUUCUAGAGAUGGUCCGAUUGCUUUUCGGACCAAGAGAGGGAGAGCAGCAAUCUAUGGUGUUCUUAGUAUUGGUGUUAUUGUUGUUCCUGGUAUUUUGAUCUGGGAAAUCGCUCAAAAAUACCCCAUACCUAGACCCACAUCAGUGCCAGUUGUUCGCACAACCUACCCGGAAAAUAUUUAUCACACAGAAGAGGUGUAUUAUAAACAAAGCCCUAUCUGGUGAUGAGUGGUUUAGGGUUUUGACAGGCAUUAGCGCAGUAAAGAAUAAUUGGUUACUCGUGGCAGAAAAAGCUGCGAAUAAAACCCCGAGUGACUGUGUGUAUGCAUGGGACCUAGACCUUUGUUUCUUGUUGUUUCCUCUUCUGUCAACUCCACCUGUGUUCCAGAUUUUAUGAAAAAUUAUGUGCAGACUAAAAAUGAAUGCAAAAUUUGGGAUACUGGCCACCCAGUAACACCAGCCCAAGAACAAACCUGUCUUUAAUCGCAGACACAAAAACUUCACCUAUUUUCCUUAAAGGUAAUGCUGCCCCAAUUGACAAUAUCUCUGAUGAUCAGUGUGCGGAGACCCAGAAAGCAUCUUUCUUCCAACCUGUCAGCCGUGCUGAUGUGUGGUGGUGGUGCGGAUGGGACCGUAUCUUUGACCACCUCCCGCGCAAUAGUCCAGGCAGAUGUGCAUGAGUAACUUUACUUUUGCCUAUUUCCGUUGUUCCUGUCACUCUAGAUGAUUUGGUGGUUGCUCCUGAACACUUCAAGGAAUCUCUUGGCCUAUUAUACCGUUCACGCAGGUCCAAACCUAUUGGCGUCCCCCGUGGUGUCCCAGACGAGUAUAAACUGGCUGAUCAGAAAACCGGCUGCCGCCAUCCUUCUCUCCCAGGCGUUGCUGUGGAGACGAAUGACACCCUAUAAGGAGCGGAAAGUUACCAUCCCAGCCCAGGACCAGACUGCAGGGGGGCAGCCACUUUUACCAUGGACCCAUACAUAUAAAAACCUUGUGUUACAGGGCAGCUUUUGUCUUUUUCUUUGGCUAUCCUGCCAGAAAACACUCGUCUCGUGUGCGGCAGAUACCUAGAUAAGACCCGGACAUGUUUAUUUCAAUCAAUUUCAUGGUGCUCAAAUUAUUUUUGAUCAAGUGAAAACAGGUCUUCUGGAGAGCACAAUUAAUUUCCAUUAGCCCUUGCUUAAUACUUUAGAUGAGGUUUUAAAGCAGCAUAUGUUGACAGUGUGGUAACAAAGGAAAGAGUUUAAUUCACUGAUCUAAUCCAAAGUAUUACAAAUACUGUUUUCUCCCACAUAAAUCCACACGAUGCUGGUAACCAUCGCAGUUGUUGCUUACUCGACAGCCAAGUUUCCCUAGGAAGGAUGUAUACAAUCAAAUUUGUGAGUAAGAGUGACUAGUAUGUAAUAUUGCUUGUUUUAAUACUACAUAGUAUUUUAUUAAAAUUAAUUAAUUAAAAUUUAAAACCCUGCACACAUCAGAACAGAAGCUUGCCAACACUUGUCAAUAGCCAGAUACAGUAUACAGUACUUCCUUGUGAUGCUGUUUCUGGGGUGGAGUCACGGGCAUUUUUUGUUUUCAUUUUCAUCUCUGUCAUUAAAUUGUUAAAUAAUAAAAGGUUUGUGUACAAUAUUAUCCCAUUUUUGUAGUUGAGAAUGGCCAAACGAUUUUCUGUAAUAAAACAUUUUUCACCAAGAACGACCGACAGUAUGCUGCUUUCAUUCAACAAUGUCAACAGUGUUCAAAGUUUUCAGUAAAUAAAAGAUGAUCAACAUAACUUGUCUUUUAACAAACGUUUUGGUCAUUUGUGUGGGCACAGGGGGCUUCUGAGCUUGUCUGACCGUGUCCAGGUUCAGCAGGUGAUUCAAGUUUGCAUUUGGUCGCUUUAGCAAUACCGAUCCGUUCAGGUGUCGGAAAUAUCUUUAUGGUAGGCAAUGAUCCAGGUUUUAACAUUUAAAACAUCUCAGACAUGAGUCCACCAGUAAAAGAGUCCGGCGUGAAAUGUUUACUGCAUAUGACAGAUUGCUGACUGGGUUUGGGAAAAUUAGCUCUUGUUUGCACAAAACUGACCCACUGUUUUCUGAGGCUUGGCUCUUCGGGAAAAUAAUGUAAACUGUGACCUGAAUAAUUCAAAUUGCAUUAAAACAGAACCACACACUUCACCAUUGUUACAGAUGGAUUUUAGCUUACAAUCACUGAGAAAUUAUUUUCUCCAUCAACAAGCAGUGCUGCGAGCAAUAAAGCCAUUACACAAACACAAGUCACCCAGUUGUGAUGUCAGUGGUAAGCCAUAAGGGGCAUUUGUCAGGUCCGGGAAACUCAGUCAAAGUUUGCGGAUUUAAUUCAUAACUACUUAUAUUUUUCAGCAAAAACAAACAAGAUGUGCAUUUUAUGGUACAGUUCAACAUAUAUUUUCAUCUAGAUAAGAUAACUUGCGUUCGAAAAUUGAUAUUCCAUACACUUUGAAAACAGACUGAAGAAGUGCAUGGAUGAGACAGGGAGGACGUGGACACAAUGUAUAGAUUUCGUUAACUUAUAUAUUAAUAUAACAAGCACUGAGGGGUUAACACUGCAUGAGACGUUGUUUGGGCUACCAUAUAAACUGCCUCAAUUUAUAAACCAAUGGGAAAUAGACAAAGAAAGUAAUCUGGCUGAUUACAUGGGGAAAAUGUUUGAAAAACAACAACAAAUUCAAACAUGGUCUGGUGAUGACCAUUCUGUUUCCCACAGCUGUAAAAAUAGCAGAAAUGUUAACUUUGAUUCAGUCGUUAGGGGUUAGGGCUUACUGUCAAGCUAAGUGGUAUAUGACGAAUAAUCUGCUGCACACGGGAUGGGAGACUCUGGUGGCUGAUUAAAAUGAUGAAUGGACACCAUCUUGGGGCACAUCUGAAUUCGCUAGACACCAGCAACACACUUUACAGUUAUACAAAACGAGUGAAGGCAUCCAAAUCAUUCUGAACACUACCAAAGUCCCUUUAAAACUCCCUUCUUGUGAAGGAGCAAAUGCCUGUUGGGGCUUUUUCCUCUGGUUUCCGGUAAUCAACAUUGUGUUUGGUGCUUUUUCUUUCUUUGCACCAUGUGGAGAAGCUCUUAUCAUUUCAUUGUAUGCACAGUAUAUAAUGACAUUAAAGGCUUUAGAUUAAAGCGCAAAAGCAAAGCAAAGCAAAUUUAUUUGUAUAGCGCAUUUCAUACACGAGGUAAACCAAUGUGCUUGCGGGGAGUGCUGGAGCCUAUCCCGGCUGUCAAUGGUCAGGAGGUGGGGUACAACCUGAACUGGUUGCCAGCCAAUCACAGGGCACAUGGAGACAAACGGCCGCACUCACAAUAACACCUCGGGGCAAUUUCAGUGUCCAAUUAAUGAGUACAAGUAAUAUGAUCAAAAAGUGGAUAUAUUCUAAAAAGCAUGGGGAAAAAAAAAAAGAGUUUUCAACCUGGAUUUAAAAACAUUCAUACUUGGGGCUGACCUCAACUCUGGUAGCAACUUUUUCCAUUUCUAUGCAUCAUAACAGCUAAAUGCUGCUUCACCAUGUUUGUUUUGGACUCUGCGCUCCACUAUUUGACCUGAGUCGGUCCAUCUCAGAGCUCUACUUGGUUUGUAUUCCGUAAAUAUUUCUUUCAUGUAUUCAGGACCUAAAUCAUUUAGAGAUUUAUUGACCAGUAGCAUUACUUUAAAAUCUAUUCUAUAGCUGACUGUAAGACAGUGCAAGGACUUUAGGAUUGGAGUUAUAUGCUCUGACCCCUUUGUUUUGGUCAGAACGCGAACUACAGUAUUCUGAAUG